rnacentral:rRNA from 1 species
AAACUAACAAGGAUUCCCCUAGUAACGGCGAGUGAACCGGGAAGAGCUCAAAUUUGAAAUCUGGCGUGCUCAGUGCGUCCGAGUUGUAAUCUAUAGAGUCGUUUUCCGUGCCGGACUGUGUCCAAGUCCCUUGGAACAGGGUAUCAAAGAGGGUGAUAAUCCCGUACUUGACACAAUGACCGGUGCUCUGUGAUACGUCUUCUACGAGUCGAGUUGUUUGGGAAUGCAGCUCAAAAUGGGUGGUGAGUUCCAUCUAAAGCUAAAUAUUGGCGAGAGACCGAUAGCGAACAAGUACCGUGAGGGAAAGAUGAAAAGCACUUUGGAAAGAGAGUUAAACAGUACGUGAAAUUGUUAAAAGGGAAACGAUUGAAGUCAGUCGUGACUGAGAGGCUCAGCCGGUUCUGCCGGUGUAUUCCCCUCAGUCGGGUCAACAUCAGUUUUGUUCGGUGGAUAAGGGCAGUUGGAAGGUGGCACCCUCGGGUGUGUUAUAGCCAGCUGUCGCAUACAUCGGAUGAGACUGAGGA